CUCUCAGUCCAGGCUCUUGCAUUAAAGCAGGAUAGAUGUAACUGGACUGGACUGAGGCCAUGGAUGGCAGAUAGGUCACAAAAAUCCAGCAGGAUCAAUGAAAAGAGUUAGAAAGGAAAAAUGAAAAUAGUUAAAGCAGUAGAUGGUGCUUCCACAAACAACUCUCCCAUCCUGGCCCUGCACACACAGAUGUUCAGUUGUCCAAGCAAAAUUAUGAAACGGCAGAAAUAAGAGGAAGCAAAAGAAGUGGCAAUUAGAAAUGCAGAUGCUUCUGGCUACCCCAGUCCAAAUUCACACAGAAGGCCUUUAUAUAGGAAUAUGCAAGAAGUGUUGAAAGAAUAUUGAUCCAUUAGGAUGCUCAUGUUUAAGCCUGUAAUCUACCACUGGAGCUGUGCUAAGGUACCCUGCCAGGCCUUCAGCUUUUCUCAUUGACACUGGGAUACUGCUGCUGUCCCUUCUCUGGAGAGAAUAUGUCAAUCACAAACAAUAACAUAUUUUCUGCCAAAGGACUCCAGACAAAUUGGUGUUCUCCCAUGGAGUGCAAGCCCCACAUAGAUGCUGUGACAGAUGUCAGCCUUGUGCCCUCACCUGUGUUGUCUCAGAUCACAAUAAGGACCUCUAUUUCAGCCACUGAAUGCUACCCUUCACAUCUGUUUUCUAUCCUGGGAAUUUAAACAAAUAUGUAGGCAUUUGUGGUGAGACACCUGAACUUGGGUGUCUCAGUCUCAGUUGAAUCCUAGCCAUAAUGUCAGUUUACCCAGUCCUGUUGCUUUAUUCAGGAGGAAUUGAUUCUGUUUAAUCUUUUGGAGGUGGACAGGAAGUGAAGUCUCUUUUGCCCAUUCCCAAUAAAGCUGUCUCACUCCCAUCCUAUGCCUUCAGCUACUUUGCUCUGUCCCUGCCUCUCGUCUGCUUCUUAAU